UAGACGUCGUAACAAGGUCUCCGUUGGUGAACCAGCGGAGGGAUCAUUACCGAGUUUACAACUCCCAAACCCAAUGUGAACGUUACCAAACUGUUGCCUCGGCGGGAUCUCUGCCCCGGGUGCGUCGCAGCCCCGGACCAAGGCGCCCGCCGGAGGACCAACCAAAACUCUUAUUGUAUACCCCCUCGCGGGUUUUUUUUAUAAUCUGAGCCUUCUCGGCGCCUCUCGUAGGCGUUUCGAAAAUGAAUCAAAACUUUCAACAACGGAUCUCUUGGUUCUGGCAUCGAUGAAGAACGCAGCGAAAUGCGAUAAGUAAUGUGAAUUGCAGAAUUCAGUGAAUCAUCGAAUCUUUGAACGCACAUUGCGCCCGCCAGUAUUCUGGCGGGCAUGCCUGUCCGAGCGUCAUUUCAACCCUCGAACCCCUCCGGGGGGUCGGCGUUGGGGAUCGGCCCUGCCUUGGCGGUGGCCGUCUCCGAAAUACAGUGGCGGUCUCGCCGCAGCCUCUCCUGCGCAGUAGUUUGCACACUCGCAUCGGGAGCGCGGCGCGUCCACAGCCGUUAAACACCCAACUUCUGAAAUGUUGACCUCGGAUCAGGUAGGAAUACCCGCUGAACUUAAGCAUAUCAAUAAGCG
rnacentral:rRNA from 1 species